UACGAAGGGGGCUAGCGUUGCUCGGAAUCACUGGGCGUAAAGCGCACGUAGGCGGAUUGUUAAGUCAGGGGUGAAAUCCUGGAGCUCAACUCCAGAACUGCCUUUGAUACUGAGGAGCUUGAGUCCGGAAGAGGUGAGUGGAACUGCGAGUGUAGAGGUGAAAUUCGUAGAUAUUCGCAAGAACGACCAGUGGCGAAGGCGGAGCUCACUGGUCC
rnacentral:rRNA from 1 species